rnacentral:lncRNA from 1 species
GCAGUCAUAUAAUUAUUCUAGUGCUACCAAAUUAAUACGUGUGGAAGAAAGAAUGGAGAAGACAUCAUUCCUAAAGGUUUUCUUGGUGUCCUUUUUCCUUAUUUUGUUAGGUAAGUACUAAUCCAACUCUCUUUUAUGGGUCCGUUUUCUAUAUAUAUUGCAAGUAGCUUUUGAUUUUUUCUUAAAAAAAUUGUUUAAUCAUAUAAUUUGUCAAGUUUUAUCACUCCAAGAUCCCAAAAGCUAGAAAAAAGUGAUUUUUUGAGUCUGAGGUCUUUUGUUUUUUAAAGACUCCAAUUAUAAUUCUAUCUAUCUAACGACUCAACAAAUAUAUUUUUACUAAAGAGAUUGUUUGUAGAAAUGUGAAGAUUAUAUUAAAAAUUAAUUAAUUACUACAUUAUUAUUAUUAUUUAUUUAUUUGCAAGUGAUGGACAGUGGCGGAGCCAGAAUUUUCAUUGAGGGGUUCAGAAGUAAAUAUACGGACUAGUCGAAGGGGGUUCGACAUCUACUACAUAUAUAAAAAUAUUUUUGACCAUGUAAAAAUAGUAUAAUCUUCCGACGAAGGGGGUUCAGAUGAACCCCUAACUUCAAUGUGGCUCCGCCACUGGCGAUGGAUCUUCAUAAGCCAUAAUUAAUUGUGAUUUGACAAAUUGUAAUAGCUGGCAAUUCUAUUAUUAGUAGUUUUUAUUAAAUAUUAUCUUAUAAUUUUUAGAUAAUAUUUUAUCUAAUUCACUAUAAGAAUGAUUAUUUUGUGUCAAAUUAUGGGUAUCAUUAAUAAUUUUACAACUUAUGAGCAUAAAUCAUCUUUCUUAUUUAUUUUUUUCGUUGAAAAAGUGAAAUAUUUUUGCCAAAAUCUAUGGCCGGACAAAUGAAAAUUUCAAACCAAACUUCACCCAAAUUUAGUUUACCAAAAAUAUUUGGGCAUCUAUGGCCAUAAAGCUAUAUUCCAAUUAUGAGCAAUUUGAAUUAUAACUUAUACAACAAUGCCAAUGGUGUAAUCAGGACAAGGAAGCAAUGGGGGGCUUUUGUGCAAUGAGGAUGAAGACUGUGAUCACCAAUUGAUAUGCAACGUUGGUUCUCCAGUAUGUGACAUAAGGACACGUACUUGCUAUUGUCCAAUAGCUUAUCAUGGACAAAAAGUGCUUAAGGCCAAUAACAAAGACUGAUUUAUCUAGUUUCCUUGUACAAUAAUUUUAUAGGAGUAAUUGAAAAAGCUAGUCCUAGGCAUCUGGGCAAAAGACUG